rnacentral:misc_RNA from 1 species
GCGAGUAUAACUCUCUAAAACCAUUGUGAACGAAUAGACCGGUUGCUUCGGCGGACGGCUUGCCGCCGCCGAAAGAACUCAAACUCUUGUUAUCAUUGCCUCUCUGAGUAACUUAGUUAAUAAGUUA